GUUCUUCGUGCCCACCGGCGCGCCUCACGUCUCCACCACCCGCCGGAAGGACGAAGAAGAAGAAAAAACUAAUCCUAAACGAUUUCUCCCCACGUGUCCUCUCCGUUGCCUUGCCUUCCCCUGCCCCGCCCCCAUCUCCGAUCUCCCCUAUAAAACACAAUGCUCCCCGCGUCGCCCCCCGAAUCAAUUCCCACAGCACCACCAAACCAAUAGGCAGGCAGCAAACACAAGCCAAUAGGCAACACCCGCGGCGACGCAAGAGGGAGAAGCGAGCGUGCAGCGGUCCUCCUCUCGAUCCACAUGGCCAUGGCGGCAGCGGACGGCAAGAGCCGGAGGUUCGCGCUGGCCUGCGGGGUGCUGAGCCAGUACGUCAAGGCCGAGCAGCAGCAGCAGCAGCAGAUGGCGGCCCCGCGCGCCCCGGCCACCACGACCCUGAGCCUGAUGCCCGGCGCGGACGUCGGCGCCGACGAGCAGCAGGAGGCGGCCGCCGCUGGGGCCGAGGAGAUGCCCGGGCCCGCCCCCGCCGCGGCGCCGCCGCUCACCAUCUUCUACGGCGGCAGGGUGGUGGUGUUCGAGGACUUCCCGGCGGAGAAGCCGGCCUCGGGCUCGGCCUCGGCCUCCUGGCUCGGGCUCCGCAGCACGGAAGCCGACCGCCUCACCAUCGCGCUGUGAUUUACUGGAUCGACCUCGACCAGUGGCGAUUUAAUUGGCUAAUGAUGGGUUCAUGAUCAUGCCUGCCUUUGGGGCUGGAAUGCUGGAUGGAGAUGGGAGACAGAGACAGGAUUGUAGAGAUGUUUUUUUUUUCAUUUCUUACGAGAGUUUCGCUGCUGUCGUGAGAUCUGAUUCGAUAAUAGAGA
rnacentral:misc_RNA from 1 species